rnacentral:tRNA from 1 species
GGUAAUAGUUAAUUAUAACAUUUGAUUUGCAUUCAAAAGGUGUUGAAUACUCAACUUACCUU